AGCGAACGCUGGCGGCAGGCUUAACACAUGCAAGUCGAGCGGGCAUAGCAAUAUGUCAGCGGCAGACGGGUGAGUAACGCGUGGGAACGUACCUUUUGGUUCGGAACAACUGAGGGAAACUUCAGCUAAUACCGGAUAAGCCCUUACGGGGAAAGAUUUAUCGCCGAAAGAUCGGCCCGCGUCUGAUUAGCUAGUUGGUGAGGUAAUGGCUCACCAAGGCGACGAUCAGUAGCUGGUCUGAGAGGAUGAUCAGCCACAUUGGGACUGAGACACGGCCCAAACUCCUACGGGAGGCAGCAGUGGGGAAUAUUGGACAAUGGGCGCAAGCCUGAUCCAGCCAUGCCGCGUGAGUGAUGAAAGCCCUAGGGUUGUAAAGCUCUUUUGUGCGGGAAGAUAAUGACGGUACCGCAAGAAUAAGCCCCGGCUAACUUCGUG
rnacentral:rRNA from 1 species